AAGGAUGACAGUGGCUGACCUCCCGCUCCAACUACAUAUACACAGCUCCAUACUCUCAGAGAGUCCUGCAUCCCACAAUGGGGGCAAACUGGGAAACCCAGCUUCUGAACUUUGUGGCAUUAGGUUCUGCUGGUUAUCUAUUGGACUCUGACCUUACCCAUGAUGUCUUAACUGUUGCUCAGCCUUCCCACAUUCUCUCACCUGUACUACAUCUUGCAAGAUUCUACAAAAUUUCUGGUCAAGAAAAUGCAUCUGUUUCCCUUUGCUAAUCCUUUACAUAAUUCUGACUCUAAAACUAAGGAUUCCACAUAUGAGUCAAAUCAUGCAAUGCUAACUGAAAUAAGUCAGACUGAGAAAGAAAAAUGCAAGUACUUUAACAUGUAUUCCUCCAACCCAAAUUUUAUUAUUAAAAUUCCAUGAGGCUUCUUCAAAAGCCUACUAGUCAUCUUAAAAACUAA